rnacentral:rRNA from 1 species
GGUUAUCAGUAGUGUAUUGGUAAUCUUACCUGCUCAAUGCUGAAGUAAAUAGCUGCAGUAUUUUGACUGUACUAAGGUAGCAUAAUCAAUAGCUUUUUAAUUGAAGGCUGGUAUGAAAGGUUAAUACUAUAAAAGAAGUUUUAUUAAUUUAUUUCGAAUUUAAAUUAAAAGUAAAAAUGCUUUUAUUAACCCUUGGGACGAGAAGACCCUAGAAGCUUAAAUGCAGUUGUAUUUUAGUUGGGGUGACUAAUGAAGAUAAAAAUCUUUAUGUUUUGAAUUGUUAAUAUAAAAAGUUACUCUAGGGAUAACAGCGUAAUUUAAUUUAUGAGUUCUUAUUUGAAAUUAAGUUUGCGACCUCGAUGUUGAAUUAAAUGGAAGUAAGGUGUAGAAGCUUUAUAUUUUUAGUCUGUUCGACUAUUAAAUUUUUACA